UUACCAUUAGGUCUUACUUUUAUUACAAUUGAUUUUUCUUUCGUUAGAGUGUGACUUUGUGCUUUACACUUGUAAGUUCCAUCGUCUGUUACAUUAACAUUACUUCGAGUCAAUGUUUGUUCUUCUUUUUCUCUUGUACCAGUCUGUACGUUAUCUUUAUACCAUGUAACGUCAGCAGGAGGGUUCCCAUUUUCACCUCUGCAUACACAUGUGAAGUCUUUGCCUUCAUCCACUGUGAAGUCUUUGCCUUCAUCCACUGCGACGGAACUGCGACAGUUGAUUGUUACAGUUGGCUUCACUGAAA